GACGAACGCUGGCGGCGUGCCUAAUACAUGCAAGUCGAACGCAGUGGGGCCGGGUGAUUAACACGUGGGUAACCUCCCAUCAGAGGGCAUAACACUUGGCAACAGGUGCUAAACCGAUACUGAUGGAUGGACCCGCGGUGCAUUAGCUACUGGGUGCUGUAACGGCUCAACAAGGCCACGAUGCAUAGCAGACCUGAGAGGGCGAUAGGCCAGACGGUGACUGAGACACGGCCCAGAAUCCUACUGGAGGCAGGAGUAGGGAAUGUGCGGCAAUGGACGAAAGUCUGACGGAGCAAUGCCGCGUGAGUGAAGAAGGUUUUCGGAUCGUAAAACCGUGUUGUUGGAGAAGCGGUAUCUAACCAGAAAGCCACGGCUAACUACGUGCCAGCAGCCGCGGUAAUAC
rnacentral:rRNA from 1 species